AUAAUGGGUCAGCGACUUAUAUUCUGUAGCAAGGUUAACCGAAUAGGGGAGCCGAAGGGAAACCGAGUCUUAACUGGGCGUUAAGUUGCAGGGUAUAGACCCGAAACCCGGUGAUCUAGCCAUGGGCAGGUUGAAGGUUGGGUAACACUAACUGGAGGACCGAACCGACUAAUGUUGAAAAAUUAGCGGAUGACUUGUGGCUGGGGGUGAAAGGCCAAUCAAACCGGGAGAUAGCUGGUUCUCCCCGAAAGCUAUUUAGGUAGCGCCUCGUGAAUUCAUCUCCGGGGGUAGAGCACUGUUUCGGCAAGGGGGUCAUCCCGACUUACCAACCCGAUGCAAACUGCGAAUACCGGAGAAUGUUAUCACGGGAGACACACGGCGGGUGCUAACGUCCGUCGUGAAGAGGGAAACAACCCAGACCGCCAGCUAAGGUCCCAAAGUCAUGGUUAAGUGGGAAACGAUGUGGGAAGGCCCAGACAGCCAGGAUGUUGGCUUAGAAGCAGCCAUCAUUUAAAGAAAGCGUAAUAGCUCACUGGUCGAGUCGGCCUGCGCGGAAGAUGUAACGGGGCUAAACCAUGCACCGAAGCUGCGGCAGCGACGCUUAUGCGUUGUUGGGUAGGGGAGCGUUCUGUAAGCCUGCGAAGGUGUGCUGUGAGGCAUGCUGGAGGUAUCAGAAGUGCGAAUGCUGACAUAAGUAACGAUAAAGCGGGUGAAAAGCCCGCUCGCCGGAAGACCAAGGGUUCCUGUCCAACGUUAAUCGGGGCAGGGUGAGUCGACCCCUAAG
rnacentral:rRNA from 1 species